rnacentral:tRNA from 1 species
GUCUUUGUAGUAUAACAAUUACCCUGGUCUUGUAAACCAGAAAUGGAGAAAUUCACCUCCCUAAGACU